rnacentral:lncRNA from 1 species
AAAAAAAAAAAAAAAAAAAAAAACUAGCUAAGCUACUAUUAUGGAAGUAAAGUAAAGAGUUGGUAGUUCAAGGUUUGGAGGAAAUAAGGUAAUAAAGAGUUCUAAGAAAGAAAAAGUUUGAGAAGGUGAAGGGAAGAGAAUAAACAACAUAGGAAGCUUUUGUUUGUGUGGGUUAAUAACGAGAUUGAGGAUGCUAUUUGUUUUUUAAAAUUAAUUUAAUUUAAUAUUUGUUUGUUGUGUUUUUGUUGGAAGAAUUUGGGUUUACUUUGUUUUUGUUGGGUUAGGGUUA